rnacentral:sRNA from 1 species
CAAGACAAAAAGAAAAAAAAAACAGAAAAAAAGAC